AAAGAGCUUUGAUAAAGAAAAAUGGGAAAGAGCAGGAGAAAAGACUGACGGAGACUGAGCGGUAGAGAAAGCGAGAGUCACCACCCCCGGUCUCCUCUCUGCCACGCCGGAUCUCUCUCUCUCUCUCUCCUGUGCCUCGCUCUGUCACGGUUACAUCUUUCUCUCGCUCUCUCGCUCUCUCUCUCUCUUUCUCUCUCUCUGUGUAUGAGUUUUGAUUUCAUUUUGUUUUUGUCUUGGUAAAGAAAGUUGGAGGACGCAGAGAAGCUUGAUGGAGGAGGACGGUGAAGAAGCUUCACGAGGUGGAGGAAGCGAGGUGGAGGAAGCUGGACGAACAGACGGCGGAAGAGGCGGGAUGAAAAGGCGGAGGAGGAGGCAGGACGCUCAAGUUUGCCAGCGGUGGAGAGUUCAACAAGAAGACGACGGCUUUUAGAUUAGGUUUAGUUUUGUAUUUUUGGUCCUUUUUUAAUUUUGUUUAAUUGUCUAAACCAAUUUAAAAUUACAAACCGGUUCAAAUAAAUGAAGAAGCGGCGUAUCUCAUGUGGCACUAUCAAACUGUAAAACCCAAUAAGCUCAUAAACAGUGUUUUAGAAAGUUUUUUUUAUUUGGUAUGAAAUAUAUUUUUUAAAUAAGA
rnacentral:lncRNA from 1 species